UUCAGGUCGAAAAAUUUCAGGGAAACAUCCGGGGUACACAGAAUGACCAAUCAAGCGCAGAGCUAAUCGAGCUCACAGCGGCCAAUCACAACACAGCUCUGAAGCCUGUGGGAGCUGCGUCUUUUUUCACCUGUGGAGAAGCUCCGUGGCAGCUGCUUGGAGAACACAGCUCCUACAGUCAUUUGUCUGAUGUUUGCAGACUCUGGGGAAACCACUCCACAUCAUGCUUUGGAAGCUGCUUUGCCUCCUAAAUGGGUACAAACGAAGUUUAAAACAUUUUGUUGCCAAUAAAUGACAGUAUCUAUUUUA